rnacentral:lncRNA from 1 species
CCAAGCGUUCCAAGAACAAAACUUUAGCAAAACCCAUAAUCCCAAUCGUCUCCAAAGAGAUCCAGGAGAUUCGGGUUGACCAUGUCCGGCCUUGGAUCAGAGGAAGUAGAACUGACGGUAAAGUGGUCGAAAUCUGACUGCAGAAAGUCCUGAAUGAGCCGGAGAUGGCCUUGGCGGUGGCGCACCGCGGGGGAUGGUUUUGGGGUGAUGAGGUCGAUAACUCUGAGAGUGUUUUGUAGCUUGUUGGUUUUUUGGGUUGUUC